AUUAAACAACUUUGAUAUUGAUUUUUUCUAAUUCAACUAUUGGAGAAGGUGUUCCUUAGGUCACUUACAGCCACACAAAGUUAUCUGACCUCUAUAAGAAAAUCCAAGUGAAGAUUGGUGCAGAUCAGGGACUUGGAGGUGCUAGCCUGCAAGCAACUUUGACAGCUGAUCUCUUCCUUUUUCUUCAAGCACCUUGGACACUCCAAAGAAUGAAGAGAUUUAGAGAAGGAAGAG
rnacentral:lncRNA from 1 species